rnacentral:tRNA from 1 species
GGUGGGAUGCCGGAGCGGUUGAACGGGCCUGUCUUGAAAACAGGUACUCCGAGAAAAUCGGGGUCGUAGGUUCAAAUCCUACUCCCACCGCCA